rnacentral:sRNA from 1 species
GACUUCGACGGAUCAAAUUCUUCAUCGUCUCUUUUCUUAUCAUGUCUCUCUUCUCAUACGAUCCACAAGAUUCGUGAUCGAAGAGGUGUCAGAAAAUCCACCGGAAGAGCUACUCUUACCGGCUUUGCUGAGGUCAACGAUGUGGCGCUGUUUUUCGGUGGAUUGGUUAGAAUGUUGAUGCUCAUAGGAUCCUGCUUGUGGGUUCGUCUGCUGACUUAAAUAAUGCUUCCACCUUCUCUAAAUCACUCCAGUGCCGACAUUACUUGUAUAAAAGAGACCACAUGUUUUAAGUCACCACAAGUUUGUACUUUGGUUUGAAUGCUUGUACACCACAAAAUAAUAUUCCGAAAACACUAGUUCUUAUUGUGUAUUCUAUGACAUCACUUGUAUGCUAAACAAUAAUUUUGUUUUCAUUGUUCUAAAUUUUGA